GAUGAACGCUGGCGGCGUGCCUAAUACAUGCGAGUCGAGCGAACAGACGAGGAGCUUGCUCCUCUGACGUUAGCGGCGGACGGGUGAGUAACACGUGGAUAACCUACCUAUAAGACUGGGAUAACUUCGGGAAACCGGAGCUAAUACCGGAUAAUAUAUUGAACCGCAUGGUUCAAUAGUGAAAGACGGUUUUGCUGUCACUUAUAGAUGGAUCCGAGCCGCAUUAGCUAGUUGGUAAGGUAACGGCUUACCAAGGCGACGAUGCGUAGCCGACCUGAGAGGGUGAUCGGCCACACUGGAACUGAGACACGGUCCAGACUCCUACGGGAGGCAGCAGUAGGGAAUCUUCCGCAAUGGGCGAAAGCCUGACGGAGCAACGCCGCGUGAGUGAUGAAGGUCUUCGGAUCGUAAAACUCUGUUAUUAGGGAAGAACAAAUGUGUAAGUAACUAUGCACGUCUUGACGGUACCUAAUCAGAAAGCCACGGCUAACUACGUG
rnacentral:rRNA from 1 species